rnacentral:lncRNA from 1 species
UGGGAUCCCAUCUAUUAUAUUAAGACCUUGAGUGUACUCAACAAGCCCUAAUAUAAUAUUUGGGUAGAUACUAUUAUCAAUUGUAUCUCCAUACAACUCCCAGAUCAUUAAGCUGACAACUCUUUGUUUUCACACAUCUUAUGUGUUAGCUUAACAUGCCUCUAAAAUUUAUCUCCUUGAGUGUACUCAACAAAAGAUAAAUUUUAGUUAAGUCAAACUCAUCAUUCAGAAAUAUCAAUAUUUCAUAGUGUCAAACAUAUCCCUAAUGGACCAGCCUUGAGUGUACUCAACAAACUGAGACGAUUUAGGAUUCUCGUUUUUCACUAUAAUGAUGGAAGGUGAUUACAAAUGUGACUUAAUAUUUUAUUGAGGGGAUUUGCAUACAACUCUUAGAUCAUUAAGUUGACAACUCCUUGUCCUCACAUAUUUUAUCAUGUCUCUAAAAUCUAUCUCCUUGAGUGUACUCAACAAAAGAUAAACUUUAGUUAAGUCGGACCCAUCAUUCAGAAACAUCUGAUAUUUCAUAGUGUCAGACAUAUCCAUAAUAGAUCAGCCUUGAGUGUUCUCAACAAGCUAAGAUCGAUUUAGGACUCUGGGUUUUCACUAUAAUGAUGGAGGACGAAUGUAAAAUGUGACUUAAUAUUUUAUUGAG